UUGAUUUAAACCCAACUCUCCUUCCAUCCUCUCGAGCUCCACACUCCAAAAGAAAGCUUCACAGUCAUCUUCACAGUCAUCUUCCUCUCCAUUCACACUCCAAACCUUUCUCCUCAGCGCCUUCAUCCACCGCAUUCUUCCAUCAUUAACACCUUUGAGACUUCCAUCACUCUCGUCGUCAAUCAUCGCUGUUCCCAUGCUGUCCCUUCCCUUCCCCUCUUUUACGAGGACAAACCCUAAUCCUCCUUCAGCGAUUUUUUCUUCCCUUCAAACCUAACACCGAUGGUUUUACAAGAAUCACAUUAUCAGGAUGGGCCACAACAAUGCUUAGUUUAUAUACAAAGGUUUAAGUAAAUAUUCUAGGAAGACAUCUAUAUAUUGAUACUGCACGAGAUUUGAAAGCUCUAGCACAAUGGUCCUCUCCUGAAUGGAGUGCAAGUGACAGCACAAAAUCCUGAGAAAGGUGGAACAUUUGUGACUAAUAGAGAGCGAAUAUGUCAUAUAAAGAUAAGAGAGAUUCGUCAGAAAUAUGAUAUGGUGACCUACCUGUUGGAGUAUAUUGACUAUCCUGACCAAAUUUGUUGCAGCCACCCAACCCAUCAAUGCUUUGGCAUUUGUAUUUUUGCAAACUAUAAUCUCUCUCUUUACGUGAGAUGGUUAUUACCACCCUGGGUGAUCUGCAUAGGCUCUAUCCGGGGAUCAUAUUGCAAAAUAAAGUUUUGAGGAUUAAGGAUAAGUCUAUUGAUCAGACUCUAGCCUACUUUUGUGAGGUUUUGAAGUCUAUUGAGGGUGUUUUUCCAGAACCCAG